GAUGAAUCCAAAACCUCCAAGGUCAGCUAGUCCACACUCUGUAAAUCGUGGUGAAAUUGAUCGUUGACCUCGUCAGGACUGUGUAGUCGUCCUUAUGGUCACACACGAGGGAUUUCGUGGCCAUUAUAUUACCGUCGUCCACACACUGUAUAAAGUUUGGCGAAAACUGUUCUACUGAACGAUGCACCAAGACCACAACUAUAUAUAGUACGGUCAAAUGUGCGUCGUCGUACUGUAGG